rnacentral:rRNA from 1 species
UGCAAGUCUAAGUACGCGCUCUCGUACAGUGAAACUGCGAAUGGCUCAUUAAAUCAGUUAUGGUUCAUUUGAUCGUACGUCUUACUUGGAUACCUGUACCAAAUCUAGAGCUAAUACAUGCAGCAGGCGCCUGCCUCACGGCGGGCGUGCAUUUAUCAGUCCAAAAACCGACCGGGCCGGCGUUUGUCGCGCCCGACACGUUUUGGUGACUCUGGAUAACUCAGCGGAUCGCACGGUCUCGCACCGGCGACGGAUCAUUCAAGUGUCUGCCCUAUCAACUUUCGUCGGUAGGGUAUCGGCCUACCGAGGUUCUUACGGGUGACGGGGAAUCAGGGUUCGAUUCCGGAGAGGGAGCCUGAGAAACGGCUACCACAUCCAAGGAAGGCAGCAGGCGCGCAAAUUACCCAUUCCCGACGCGGGGAGGUAGUGACGAAAAAUAACAAUACAGGACUCUAAACGAGGCCCUGUAAUUGGAAUGAGCACAUUUUAAAACCUUUAACGAGUAUCCAUUGGAGGGCAAGUCUGGUGCCAGCAGCCGCGGUAAUUCCAGCUCCAAAAGUGUAUAUUUAAGUUGUUGCGGUUAAAAAGCUCGUAGUUGGAUUUUGGGCGCAGGCGGCCGGUCCGUCGCAAGGCGUGCACUGGCUGCACCUGG